UUCCAGUGCAAAAAAGUUCCACGUGGACGAUGUUCUAUUUAGCUCAUGCAUACAGAAUAACAGAAAUCUUGGAGGAGGUUAGGAUACAGUUAGGAAGGGAAUAAAAAAAAUGAUGAAUGUGAUAGAGUUAAUUGGGAAGGCCGGAUAAAAAGUAAGUUAAGAGUUUCUUCAGUGAGGAACACUGGGAGGAUGGAGAAAUAAAGGAAGGGAUUG